UAUCUCUGUAGAGUCUGCAUAUCAAUAAGCGGAGGAAAAGAAACUAACUAGGAUUCCCUCAGUAACGGCGAGUGAGGCGGGAAGAGCUCAAAUUUGAAAUCUUCAAGGUUCUACCUUGACGAAUUGUAGUUUAAAGAAGUGUUUUCUGUUGGAGUUUUGGUAAAAGUUCUUUGGAAUAGGACAUCAUAGAGGGUGAGAAUCCCGUAUUUGACCAUUAUUUCCAGCUUUGUGAUACACUUUCAAAGAGUCGGAUUGUUUGGGAAUGCAGUCCAAAAUGGGUGGUAAAUUUCAUCUAAAGCUAAAUAUUGGCGAGAGACCGAUAGCGAACAAGUACCGUGAGGGAAAGAUGAAAAGAACUUUGAAAAGAGAGUUAAACAGUACGUGAAAUUGUCAAAAGGGAAGCGUUUGACACCAGUGUUGUUUUCUCGAAAAUCAAUUAAAAAAGGCAGGAUUUUGUGUUGUAUUGACUUUAUCAGCUUUCUGCACUCUUUUCUUGUCUUUUUUAAUGCACUUUUCGUUUAACAAGUCAACAUCAAUUUCUUUUGUUGUAAAAGGGUCAUUGGAAGGUGGCUUUCUUUUCGGAGAAAGUGUUUAUAGCCUUUGGCCUCUGCAAUCGGAGAGAUUGAGGUCUGCAGCGUAGAUCCUUCAGGGUUAGAUACAUUUGUGCUAAGUUAUAGCCUUUCAUAGACAACUUGUUGACUAUGAUCAGUCAUGUAGCUUACUCGCUUAUGCUAUUUUACCUACGCUUAGGAUGUUGACGAUCAGCUGAGCGCG
rnacentral:rRNA from 1 species